AACGAACGCUGGCGGCAUGCCUAACACAUGCAAGUCGAGCGCCCGUAGCAAUACGGGAGCGGCGCACGGGUGAGUAACGCGUGGGAACCUGCCCAGAGGUCUGGGACAACCGCGGGAAACUGCGGCUGAUACCGGAUGAUUCCUGAGGGACAAAGAUUUAUCGCCUUUGGAGGGGCCCGCGUCGGAUUAGGUAGUUGGUGGGGUAACGGCUCACCAAGCCUAUGAUCCGUAACUGGUCUGAGAGGAUGACCAGUCACACUGGGACUGAGACACGGCCCAGACUCCUACGGGAGGCAGCAGUGGGGAGUAUUGGACAAUGGGGGCAACCCUGAUCCAGCAAUGCCGCGUGGGUGAUGAAGGCCUUC
rnacentral:rRNA from 1 species